UUGAUGUUUUUUUAACAUUAAUGUGAGUUCCCCCAUCCUGCCUAUGGUCCCCCAGUGGCCAGAAAUGUGUAAAGGUGUAAACCAAGCACUGGGUAUCCUACUCUGCCUUUGAGAAAAUAAAAUCUC